rnacentral:lncRNA from 1 species
GGGAACUGGAGCACUCAGAGGAGUGUUGGGAUUUUAGCUAUUGUAGACGUUUUAAGGUAGAAGAGGUUAGACAAGCUGUCCGCAAGAUGCGAAGGGGUAGGGCGACGGGGCCGGAUGAGAUACCGGUGGAGUUUUGGAAGUUCGUUGGAGAGGCUGGUGUAAGGUGGUUGACUGGAUUGUUUAAUGAAAUCUUCAGGACGGCAAAGAUGCCUGAGGCGUGGAGGUGGAGUACCAUGGUCCCUCUCUAUAAGAAUAAGGGGGACAUUCAGAGUUGCAAUAACUAUAGGGGGAUUAAGUUAUUGAGUCACUCUAUGAAGAUCUGGGAGAGAGUGGUCGAGGUGAGGCUGAGACGGAUAGUGUCUAUUUCGGAAAACCAGUUUGGAUUUAUGCCCGGUCGCUCGACGACGGAGGCAAUCCACCUGGUACGGAGGUUGGUGGAACAGUAUAGGGAAAGGAAGAAGGAUCUGCACAUGGUGUUCAUCGACCUGGAAAAGGCGUACGACA